AUUGAACGCUGGCGGAAUGCUUUACACAUGCAAGUCGAACGGCAGCACGGACUUCGGUCUGGUGGCGAGUGGCGAACGGGUGAGUAAUGUAUCGGAACGUGCCCAGUCGUGGGGGAUAACGUAGUGAAAAUUACGCUAAUACCGCAUACGAUCUAUGGAUGAAAGCGGGGGAUCGCAAGACCUCGCGCGAUUGGAGCGGCCGAUAUCCGAUUAGGUAGUUGGUGGGGUAAAGGCCCACCAAGCCCAAGAUCUGUAGCUGGGCUGAGAGGACGACCCGCCACACUGGGACUGAGACACGGGCCAGACUCCUACGGGAGGCAGCAGUGGGGAAUUUUGGACAAUGGGCGAAAGCCUGAUCCAGCCAUUCCGCGUGCAAGAUGAAGGCCCUCCGGUUGUAAACCGCUUUUGUACCGAACGAAAAGGUUUCUAAUAAUACUAGGAGCUCAUGACGGUACUGUAAGAAUAAGCACCGGCUAACUACGUGCCAGCAGCCGCCGUAA
rnacentral:rRNA from 1 species